rnacentral:lncRNA from 1 species
UGUUCCAGGAACCAGUUCAGCCCCUUGUACGCCACGUACACGCCGAGUCUAAACCAUCUGUACGUGCCCAUGGGUGUGUUCACCAAGCCAAUCUUCCGCAACAGCCAAAAGAACCGCAUAUUUGCUGCAACAUCUGGCUACCUGGUGAUGAGCGGGGUCAUGAAAGCCUUGACAUUGAGCGG